CGUUCAGAGAUUGCCUCUGUCGUUAUCCACUCCAGUGGAUACGGGAAUGCAGUUGUUAA
rnacentral:ncRNA from 1 species